GCUGACACUCUAGCCUUUCCUUUAUUCAUAAGACACUUCCCCCCAUUUACUUACCAUAAUUAAAACAUUUUAAUUGUUUAGUAUUGGCGACAGAAAAAUAAGUAAGAGCUAUACAAAUAGUACCGCAAGGGAAAGAUGAAAUAAAAAUGAAAUAAUUUUUAAGCACAAAAAAGUAGAGCUUACAUCUCGUACCUUUUGCAUCAUGGUUUAACAAGUCUAACCAAGCAAAAAGAUUUAUAGUUUGACCCCCCGAAACUAAGCGAGCUACUUCGAGACAACUUUGUGAGUUAACCCAUCUCUGUUGCAAAAGGGUGGGACGAUCUUUAAGUAGAGGUAAAAAGCCUAACGAGCUUAGUGAUAGCUGGUUACUCAAGAAAAAAAUAUUAGUUUAGCCUAAAAAAUUUGAUCAAAACAAACAAAUUCUUUUUUUAGAGUUAUUCAAAUAGGGUACAACCUAAUUGAAAAAGGACACAACCUAGAUUAACGGGUAAUUCUUUAUACCACCCUAUAAAGUUGGCCUAAAAGCAGCCACCUUUAAAACAGCGUCAAAGCUUAUUUAGGAGCUAAAAUUAAUUUAAUUCUCCAAAAUCAACCCUUUAAUACUAUUGAGUAAUUCUAUGCACUCAUAGAAAUUUUUAUGUUAAAACUAGUAAUAAGAAGAAGAACUUCUCUUUAAUGCACUUAUAAACCAGAUAGGACACACCACUGGUACUUAACAUACCUGACCCCAAAGUAAAAACCUAUCUAGAAAAAUUUACUACACAUAAUGUUAAACUUACACAAGAGCAUCUCAAGAAAGAUUUAAAGAAAAAGAAGGAACUCGGCAAAUAUUAACCCCGCCUGUUUACCAAAAACAUCGCCUCUUGAAAAAUCAUAAGAGGUCCAGCCUGCCCAGUGACAUAGUUCAACGGCCGCGGUAUCCUAACCGUGCGAAGGUAGCGUAAUCACUUACCCUUUAAAUGAGGGCUAGUAUGAAUGGCAUCACGAGAGUUAUACUGUCUCCUUUUUCUAAUCAGUGAAACUAAUCUCUCCGUGAAGAGGCGGGGAUAAAAUUAUAAGACGAGAAGACCCUAUGGAGCUUUAAAUAACACAACAUUUAUUAUCUCACCUCUAAUUUCAGAAAUUUACCCCCUCAUGAUAAUAUUAUGGUUGUUAAUUUUCGGUUGGGGUGACCACGGAGUAAAAACUAACCUCCACGUUGAAUAGGGACUUCCCCUUAACAAAAAGCUACAACUUUAUGUAUCAACAAAUUGACAUUAAUUGACCCAUCAUUUGAUCAACGAACCAAGUUACCCUAGGGAUAACAGCGCCAUCCACUUCAAGAGCUCAUAUCGACAAGUGGGUUUACGACCUCGAUGUUGGAUCAGGGUAUCCCAGUGGUGUAGCCGCUACUAAAGGUUCGUUUGUUCAACGACUAAGACCCU
rnacentral:rRNA from 1 species